rfam:Erinaceus europaeus unplaced genomic scaffold scaffold00062, whole genome shotgun sequence
GUCUAUGGCCAUACCACCCUGAACACACCUGAUCUCAGAAGCUAAGCAGGGUCAGGCCUGGUUAGUACUUGGAUGGGAGAAGGAGGAAGGAGAUAGAGAGGGAGAAAAAGGAGACACAUGCA